rnacentral:misc_RNA from 1 species
AAAUUAGCCCAAAAAACUAAAAGGUUUUUUGGGCUAAUUUAUGAU